rnacentral:rRNA from 1 species
AUUGAACGCUGGCGGCAGGCCUAACACAUGCAAGUCGAGCGGUAGAGAGAAGCUUGCUUCUCUUGAGAGCGGCGGACGGGUGAGGAAUGCCUAGGAAUCUGCCUGGUAGUGGGGGAUAACGUUCGGAAACGGACGCUAAUACCGCAUACGUCCUACGGGAGAAAGCAGGGGACCUUCGGGCCUUGCGCUAUCAGAUGAGCCUAGGCCGGAUUAGCUAGUUGGUGAGGUAAUGGCUAACCAAGGCGACGAUCCGUAACUGGUCUGAGAGGAUGAUCAGGCACACUGGAGCUGAGACACGGUCCAGACUCCUACGGGAGGCAGCAGUGGGGAAUAUUGGACAGUGGGCGAAAGCCUGCUCCAGCCAUGCCGCGUGUGUGAAGAAGGUCUUCGGAUUGUAAAGCACUUUAAGUUGGGAGGAAGGGUUGUAGAUUAAUACUCUGCAAUUUUGACGUUACCGACAGAAUAAGCACCGGCUAACUCUGUGCCAGCCGCCGCAGUAA